GACGAACCGUGCAAACGUUGUUCGGAAUCACUGGGCUUAAAGGGCGCGUAGGCGGGCGCACAAGUCAGGGGUGAAAGCCCACGGCUCAACCGUGGAAGAGCCUUUGAUACUGUGUGUCUUGAGGGAGGUAGGGGCGUGCGGAACUUCCGGUGGAGCGGUGAAAUGCGUAGAUAUCAUUUGGAACGCCAAUGGUGAAAACAGGUAGCUGGGGCUGUGCUGACACUGAGACACGAAAGCCAGGGGAGCAAACGGG
rnacentral:rRNA from 1 species